GACGAACGCUGGCGGCGUGCUUAACACAUGCAAGUCGAACGGAAAGGCCCUGCUUUUGUGGGGUGCUCGAGUGGCGAACGGGUGAGUAACACGUGAGUAACCUGCCCUUGACUUUGGGAUAACUUCAGGAAACUGGGGCUAAUACCGUAUAGGAUCUCCUGCUGCAUGGUGGGGGUUGGAAAUUUUCGGCGGUUGGGGAUGGACUCGCGGCUUAUCAGCUUGUUGGUGGGGUAGUGGCUUACCAAGGCUUUGACGGGUAGCCGGCCUGAGAGGGUGACCGGCCACAUUGGGACUGAGAUACGGCCCAGACUCCUACGGGAGGCAGCAGUGGGGAAUAUUGCACAAUGGGCGGAAGCCUGAUGCAGCAACGCCGCGUGCGGGAUGACGGCCUUCGGGUUGUAAACCGCUUUCGCCUGUGACGAAGCGUGAGUGACGGUAAUGGGUAAAGAAGCACCGGCUAACUACGUG
rnacentral:rRNA from 1 species